AACAUCGCGGUGAGCACCACGGCCGUGGCC
rnacentral:antisense_RNA from 1 species